AGUGAACGCUGGCGGUAGGCCUAACACAUGCAAGUCGAACGGCAGCACAGUAAGAGCUUGCUCUUACGGGUGGCGAGUGGCGGACGGGAGAGGAAUACAUCGGAAUCUACUUUUUCGUGGGGGAUAACGUAGGGAAACUUACGCUAAUACCGCAUACCACCUACCGGUGAAAGCAGUGGAUCUUCGGACCUUGCGCGAUUGAAUGAGCCGAUGUCGGAUUAGCUAGUUGGCGGGGUACAGGCCCACCAAGGCGACGAUCCGUAGCUCGUCUGAGAGGAGGGUCGCCGACCCGGGAACUGAGCCAGGGACCAGACGCCUACGGGAGGCAGCAGUGGGGAAUAGUAGACAAUGGGCGCAAGCCUGAUCCAGUCAUACCGCGUGGGUGAAGGAGGCCUUCGGUUUGUAAAGACCUUUUGUUGGGAAAGAAAAGCAGCAGGUUAAUACCCCGCUGUUCUGACGGUACCCAAAGAAUAAGCACCGGCUAACUACGUG
rnacentral:rRNA from 1 species